CCUACGGGAGGCAGCAGUGAGGAAUAUUGGUCAAUGGACGAGAGUCUGAACCAGCCAAGUAGCGUGAAGGAUGACUGCCCUAUGGGUUGUAAACUUCUUUUAUAUGGGAAUAAAAUGUUCCACGUGUGGGAUUUUGUAUGUACCAUAUGAAUAAGGAUCGGCUAACUCCGUGCCAGCAGCCGCGGUAAUACGGAGGAUCCGAGCGUUAUCCGGAUUUAUUGGGUUUAAAGGGAGCGUAGGUGGAUUAUUAAGUCAGUUGUGAAAGUUUGCGGCUCAACCGUAAAAUUGCAGUUGAAACUGGCAGUCUGGAGUACAGUAGAGGUGGGCGGAAUUCGUGGUGUAGCGGUGAAAUGCUUAGAUAUCACGAAGAACUCCGAUUGCGAAGGCAGCUCACUGGACUGCAACUGACACUGAGGCUCGAAAGUGUGGGUAUCAAACAGGAUUAGAUACCCCAGUAGUC
rnacentral:rRNA from 1 species